UGCAAGUCGAACGGCAGCACGGGGGCAACCCUGGUGGCGAGUGGCGAACGGGUGAGUAAUAUAUCGGAACAUAUCCGGAAGUGGGGGAUAACGUAGCGAAAGUUACGCUAAUACCGCAUAUGCCCUGAGGGGGAAAGGGGGGGAUCGCAAGACCUCUCGCUUUCGGAGUGGCCGAUAUCGGAUUAGCUAGUUGGUGAGGUAAAGGCUCACCAAGGCGACGAUCCGUAGCUGGUCUGAGAGGACGACCAGCCACACUGGAACUGAGACACGGUCCAGACUCCUACGGGAGGCAGCAGUGGGGAAUUUUGGACAAUGGGCGCAAGCCUGAUCCAGCCAUGCCGCGUGAGUGAAGAGGGCCUUCGGGUUGUAAAGCUCUUUCAGCCGGAAAGAAAUUGCUUCUAUUAAUACUAGGAGUAGAUGACGGUACCGGAAGAAGAAGCACCGGCUAACUACGUGCCAGCAGCCGCGGUAAUACGUAGGGUGCGAGCGUUAAUCGGAAUUACUGGGCG
rnacentral:rRNA from 1 species